UGCCUCAAUAAGACCAGGUAUAAAUAUUAAUAGUAAAUUUAAUGAAGAGAUAGAUGCCGAUAACCACCUGCCAAAUUUGACUAAAAAUAAACAGGAACAUCCAAUCUUUAGUUAUAGUUGAACUAAGCGGUUGCUAUGUGGAUGUAUUUUAUGUUCGACAGCUCAGCAAAGUCGACGGACCUGGUUAUACCUCCUGUACGAGACGGAUCACGAAGCGGUUGCUGACUGACCAGUUGGGGCGAAAAUGUUUGUGGGAAGGACGUAAGGGAAGGUUGACAUUCAGAAACCUUCACCUUGCUGAGUGCAUUAUAAAUGCAGUUCAGAGCUGCUGUUAAUGUGAAGACUUCAAGGUAGAAACCGUAGUCACGGACUGGCUUCGCCACACACCUGCCGGACAUCAGUCAUCUCGAAAGGAACGUUCUGCACCACAGGAGAGAGAUCUGAACUGCCUUGAGUGGGCCUUGAAUGUACUGAGCUUUUUAUUGUGUGUAUCAGAAAUGUUUUUAAGCAAAGUAUACUGCAUUGUUCAGUAUGUAUACUUUAUUUCAAAAAGCAUCAUGCUAUGUAUGCAGCAUUGUUCAAAUAUUAUACUUUAUUUAAAAAGCAUCUAGCACUGCUUGUCUGUCUAACAGUAACAAUAAA